rnacentral:rRNA from 1 species
GUGUCAGCAGCCGCGGUAAGACGAAGGUGGCAAGCGUUGUUCGGAUUCACUGGGCAUAAAGGGCGCGUAGGCGGUUCCGAAAGUGGCAUGUGAAAUCCCCCGGCUCAACCGGGGAAGUGCGUGCCAAACUUCGGUGCUAGAGGGCGGUAGGGGGGACUGGAACUCUCGGUGGAGCGGUGAAAUGCGUAGAUAUCGAGAGGAACACCGGUGGCGAAGGCGAGUCCCUGGUCCGCUUCUGACGCUGAGGCGCGAAAGCGUGGGUAGCAAACAGGAUUAGAUACCCUGGUAGUCC